UCAAUAAGCGGAGGACAAGAAACCAACAGGGAUUGCCUUAGUAACGGCGAGUGAAGCGGCAAAAGCUCAGAUUUGAAAUCUGGCGUCAUUUUGGCGUCCGAGUUGUAAUCUGUAGAGGAGUAUUCGAGUGUAGCUUUGGCUUAAGUUCCUUGGAACAGGGCGUCAUAGAGGGUGAGAACCCCGUUAACGGCCUUUGUCUUAUGCUCAUGUGAAUCUCCUUCAACGAGUCGAGUUGUUUGGGAAUGCAGCUCUAAAUGGGUGGUAAAUUCCAUCUAAAGCUAAAUACUGGCAAGAGACCGAUAGCGCACAAGUAGAGUGAUCGAAAGAUGAAAAGAACUCUGAACAGAGAGUUAAAUAGUACGUGAAAUUGUUGAAAGGGAAGCACUUGCGACCAGACGCACUUGCAGCCGAUCAACCUCCAUUCUUGGUGGUGCACUCGGUUGUAGGUGGGUCAGCAUCAGUUACGGCGGUGGGAAAAAGACCUUGGGAAUGUGGCUCUCUUCGGGGAGUGUUAUAGCCCUUGGUGUAAUGCUGCCAGCUGUGACUGAGGACCGCGCUUCGGUGAGGAUGCUGACAUAAUGGUCGUAAGUGACCCGUCUUGAAACACGGACCAAGGAGUCUAACAUCUAUGCGAGUGUUUGGGUGUUGAAACCCUUACGCGUAAUGAAAGUAAAUGGAGGUGGGAACCGCAAGGUGCACCAUCGACCGAUCCUGAUGUUUUCGGAUGGAUUUGAGUAGGAGCAUAGCUGUUGGGACCCGAAAGAUGGUGAACUAUGCCUGAAUAGGGUGAAGCCAGAGGAAACUCUGGUGGAGGCUCGCAGCGGUUCUGACGUGCAAAUCGAUCGUCAAAUUUGGGUAUAGGGGCGAAAGA
rnacentral:rRNA from 1 species